rnacentral:misc_RNA from 1 species
AAGUCGUAACAAGGUUUCCGUAGGUGAACCUGCGGAAGGAUCAUUUCCAAAAAACAAACUGAACAAAAAGAAACGUAAGUGACUUUUUUGAUCAGUAACCUUUCAUACAAACACCAUUUGGUAUUCUUUUAACGUCUAACAUUCUAAAAUUUAAAAACAAAUACAACUUUUAACAACGGAUCUCUUGGCUCUC